rnacentral:rRNA from 1 species
UACGUAGGGGGCGAGCGUUGUCCGGAUUCAUUGGGCGUAAAGAGCUCGUAGGCGGCUUGGUAAGUCGGGUGUGAAACCUCCAGGCUCAACCUGGAGACGCCACUCGAUACUGCCAUGGCUAGAGUCCGGUAGGGGCCCACGGAAUUCCUGGUGUAGCGGUGAAAUGACGCAGAUAUCAGGAGGAACACCGGUGGCGAAGGCGGUGGGCUGGGCCGGAACUGACGCUGGAGGAGCGAAAGCGUGGGGAGCGAACAGG